rnacentral:rRNA from 1 species
AGUGAACGCUGGCGGUAGGCCUAACACAUGCAAGUCGAACGGCAGCACAGGAGAGCUUGCUCUCUGGGUGGCGAGUGGCGGACGGGUGAGGAAUACAUCGGAAUCUACUUUGUCGUGGGGGAUAACGCAGGGAAACUUGCGCUAAUACCGCAUACGACCUACGGGUGAAAGCAGGGGAUCUUCGGACCUUGCGCGAUUGAAUGAGCCGAUGUCGGAUUAGCUAGUUGGCGGGGUAAAGGCCCACCAAGGCGACGAUCCGUAGCUGGUCUGAGAGGAUGAUCAGCCACACUGGAACUGAGACACGGUCCAGACUCCUACGGGAGGCAGCAGUGGGGAAUAUUGGACAAUGGGCGCAGGCCUGAUCCAGCCAUACCGCGUGGGUGAAGAAGGCCUUCGGGUUGUAAAGCCCUUUUGUUGGGAAAGAAAAGCAGCCGGUUAAUACCCGGUUGUUCUGACGGUACCCAAAGAAUAAGCACCGGCUAACUUCGUGCCAGCAGCCGCCGUAA